AGGACGAACGCUGGCGGCGUGCUUCAUACAUGCAAGUCGAGCGUGAACCCGGGGCUUGCCCCGGGGGAAAGCGGCGAACGGGUGAGUAACACGUGGGCAACCAACCCCAGCCUCUGGGAUAACCUCGGGAAACCGGGGCUAAUACCGGAUACUCUCGAUGGGUCGCAUGGCCCAACGAGGAAAGCUCCGGCGGACUGGGACGGGCCCGCGGCCUAUCAGCUUGUUGGCGGGGUAAUGGCCCACCAAGGCAUCGACGGGUAGCUGGCGUGAGAGCGUGACCAGCCACACUGGGACUGAGACACGGCCCAGACUCCUACGGGAGGCAGCAGUAGGGAAUCUUGCGCAAUGGGCGAAAGCCUGACGCAGCGACGCCGCGUGGGGGAUGAAGGCUCUUGGGUCGUAAACCCUUUCGGCAGGGAGAAGCGAAAGUGACGGUACCUGCAGAGAAGCCCGGCCAACUACGUGCCAGCAGCCGC
rnacentral:rRNA from 1 species